GUAUUCACUCUAGCCCUUGGCUUGUUCCCCAAGAUAGCUGAGCCGAGACUGCUACUGAUAUCCCGACCGUAUGCCACAAAUAAGCAAAUUCUUGCAGUUCCAUGAGAUUUUCUCGACCUUAUCACAUCCAUGAGAUUUUCUCGACCUCAUCACAUCUGCAUCUUGCAAUUCAUUAGGAAUGUUAUUUAGGAAAGUAAUGCAUUAACGAGAGCAUCGAAUUAUAUAACGACAUCAAGCAGUAUAUAUGUCAAAAAUCUUAGGGUGGUGCUAAAUUUUUCCUAGAUCUUUUGUGAGGUCUUGCACAUUACACUUUAUCUUUCAAAGCUGCUGCAAAUGACUGCGCUAAACCUGUGUUCUUCUGCUAAUUGUUUCCUGUA
rnacentral:lncRNA from 1 species